GUCGAGAAUAAUUCACAAUGGACGAAAGUCUGAUGGUGCAACGCCGCGUGGAGGAUGACGGUCUUCGGAUUGUAAACUCCUGUCAUCCGGGAGUAAGACCUGGCUGUGAAUAGCAGACAGGGUUGAUAGUACCGGAAGAGGAAGGGACGGCUAACUUCGUGCCAGCAGCCGCGGCAAUACGAAGGUCCCGAGCGUUGUUCGGAAUCACUGGGCGUAAAGGGAGCGUAGGCGGCGUGGUAAGUCAGAUGUGAAAUCCCGGGGCUCAACCCCGGAACUGCAUCCGAUACUGCCGUGCUAGAGGAUUGGAGAGGUAGCUGGAAUUCUUGGUGUAGCAGUGAAAUGCGUGGAGAUCAAGAGGAACACUCGUGGCGAAAGCGAGCUACUGGACAAUAUCUGACGCUGAGGCUCGAAGGCCAGGGUAGCGAAAGGGAUUAGAUACCCCUGUAGUCC
rnacentral:rRNA from 1 species